rnacentral:lncRNA from 1 species
CGCGUUCACACUCGCGCUCCUCCCCAGCCGGCUGCCCCAGGACCGCGGGCCCGAGCAGCGGCCCACACCCAGGAGCGAGGAGGCGGUUAAAGGCGGCAGGGAGGCUGACAUCUUUUAUCUCGGGGUCUAUGGGUAACCGCUCCGCAGUGUUCCCUCGGGAGAUCUUACCGAGCCCGCCGGGGGCCGUCCGCCCAGGCACUGGGGCACUUCACACUCGUGACUCAAGGUCACCACGGCAGUCGGUCCCUGACUCCCAGCCCGGCAGGAGUUCAGAGGCCAGCCUUCUGGGUUCCUCGUGAAGGCUUCUCCACCAGAGGUCUGUGAGCCUCUCCUCCGUUCUCAGCACACCUGAGAAGACACCAGCACAUGGUCUUUCUCCCACUCUGAAGUUUGCUGACAUUCCUUGAUCUUCCUGUGCUGCCUCUGCCAUCAGAUGAGAAGUCACAUGUUUCUGAGCCUUGGCCAGGUGCAUGGAUUGGCCAUUGUGUUUAUUUUUCAUCAACUUUUUCCACGGCAGCAGAUGUGCAACUGUUACUUCAAGCCUCUUACAGGUACCAGGAGCCAUGGGCAUCACAGAUGAAGCCAACACAGAGGGACAAGACUGGAAAGAAAGUGCAGUGAGCCUGAGAGGUGAGUCCCUGGAUCCAACGUGGCUCCAUGGUACUUUUCAUGUCCAUCCUUCCUUAUGCCAGCUCAAAUUAGUUUCUUCCACC